rnacentral:snoRNA from 1 species
GCAUAGGCAUAGCUUUAUGGCAGGUCCAUCUCCCUGGAUCACUUACAGUGUCCUGUGACAGCAGACUGCCUCCAGAUCAUUGCUUGGCCUCUGCACCUAUAGGUGACUGGCACUGAAGUGGCACAGUU